UCAAAUCUUGAGGGGAAGCAAAGGAAACCAAUACCCUAGUCAGACAAGUGGUUCAAAUGAUAUUCAUUUGCCUAUUGCAUAUUGCUAUGCUCCAAUAUUUGAAGAGGAUAACAAGGAAGUCUUUUAGGCUUACAUUCGGAUGGUUCUGGCUGAUCAAAACCAAUAAGGCCAUACUAUGAAAGUGUUGAAGAGGAAGACAAAGCUGAUGACGAAGAAGCUUACCUUAGUCUAUAAUGAUGUUACAAGGUAAUCCCUACUUCUGAGUCCAAUUAUAUUUAUGUUUCUAUUAAUGUUAAUAGCAGUGUAGUUUUAAAUUCGUCCUAUGCUUGAAAAUACACUUCCAACGCAUAUUUACCUUCUAUAGAUUCAAAACCCCAAACUCAACUUUAAACUAUUAUUAAUGUAUUCGAACCUGAAACUCAACCAUCCUCUACCCCUAAACCAGACUCUCAAACAACGAACACCAUUCUCAUUUCUGACCAACUCAAAGAAAAUAUUUCUUCUUUAAAGCACUACAAGAAAAAAAAACGUUUUGCGGCGGUUAAAAAGGGGGUUUGCGGCAGUUGUAACCGCUGCAGUUUGAUGUUUGUGAAGGUUCUGCAACUGUCGCAGAUUCGUGCGUCGCAAGGCCAGUUUGCGACGGUUCACAAAACCCUAAGGAAAUAUUAGUUGCUAGAUGUAAGACGGUAACUUUCAAAACCCUAAUUUCUUCAAUUUUGAUAUAUAUUGUAUUCAAUGUGUUGCUUAAUUUGUCAACUCCAUUUUUAUUUUAUGAAAUUAAGUAGCAAAAUUAUAUUUUCUCGAUGGAGACAUGUUUUAUCGUUCGCAAAAUUUUAAAGUGGCUCUAUUUUCGACGAAACUUUUUGCCCUAGUUAUUGAGAUGGUUAGGGUUUGUAAUGUGUUUGGGAAAAACAUUUCAGGAACUAUGUUAAAAUUAUUCAUCAAAGAAUAAUUUAAUCAAUUUACGGACGAAAUAUUAUCAACAAAUAUUUUAAGAGAUAUAAGUUACGGUUAGAUUUAUCUGAGAAUUGAAUUGUGUCGGAGUAUAUAUUUUUGUGAAGAAAGUUACUGAUGUGACAUAAAAUUAUUUGAAAUCUCCUAUAUAAAGAACCAUAUCACUCCCUCCACCAUCCUUUUCUCACGUUUGCUUUCUCCCCUUGGGUUCCUUCUUUCAUUUUUCUAAACAAAAAAUUAGAGUGUUGAUGAAGUGUUUAUUGGUUCAAAUAUCUCCCUAGAGUAAGGUCAAGAAGGAUUUUGAAAAGACACUAAGAGCCAAAGUCACUCCAUGCAUCAAGAUGAAGUUUUUGAGGUGAGAAACGAUUUCGCUUCUCUUCUCCCUCCUUUAGCCACAAGGUACCAUGUAUGUAAGGGUAUGGUGUUUUUUUUUUUCUUCCUUUUGUGUUGCCUUGAUCUUUAACUAGUAUAUAGGUGUUGAUAGUUAAUGGCUUAAAAAAAAAACAUUUUUCCUGCUUCUUUUUUACUUAGCCGAAACCAGUCCUAGAGAUAGGGGAACAUAUUUUUGUGGUUUACGAUAAAGUUUUUGAUGAAGAAUUUUUUCUUUUGCUGAGAAGAGUUUUCAAAAUUUCUUUUUCAUAAAACCUUACUAAGUUGUCCAUGUUUGUUUAAUGUAAAAAAGAAUAAUAAGACAAGUGUGGAAACAUACUUUGAAAAAUUGAUUUUUGUGUGAUUAAAGUUAUGUACAUGAGUUGUGAGUUGAUUUCAAAUAAAUGAAUUUGAACCGAUGAUAGAAAUUUUAUUGUUACUUUUUUUUGAUAUAAAACUAUAUAAAUUUUAUUAAAUAGCUUUAAUUAGUAAAGUUAGGAAAUGUUUUUCCAGUUAUGUUUUUGUGAUGAUUUUUGAACUAAAAUGACAAAUUGGAUGUUAAUAUAUUUGAGGACCAAAGCCAUAGAUUGAGAUAUGCAUUGUUCCUUUGGUUUCCUAGAGUGUAGACAUAUUAUACAAACAAUUAUAGAAGAAUCAAAAACAGAAAAGUCGUCCAUAAAAAUUUUGAUAUAUUUUUCAUGCAUAUAAGAAAAUGUGGACAUCAUCCACCUUUGAAAUAUGGAAAUGCACAUUACAUAUUCAAAAAUGCAUUCGUCAAUGAAAAAUGUUCUAUAAGCAAGUGUAAAGGCGACAUUUUCUUAAUCUUAAAGGACUAUGGCAAUUUGAUUAUAUCUAGAGUUUUUAAGCGUCUGAUCAAUGAAAGGAAGUAGAAAAUGAUAUUUUCUUGCAUCAAUGUUCAAUAUCCUAUAGUCAAUACACAGUUUCACCCAUAACAAUACGAGUUGGAAUCAACUUGUUUUCUCAUUCACAAUCAAUGUAGUCUCUUCAUUUUUAGGGACAACUUGAACAUGAGGUUGACUUCAAGGAGUUUCACCACUUAUUUUUUAAUCACUUCCUUUGUUGUCGAGUUAAGUCUUCUUCCAAGUUGAACUAUUCGGUUGGGGUCUUCUGUAAGACCCAUAAUUUUAAAGUACCCUUUAUGUAUCUUUGGUGUAUUUUAGAUUUUGGCUCGGAGGCUUUUAAGUUAAAGUUAAUAAUAUUUUGGAGUUUUAUAAUCAAAAAGAUAUUUUAAUGCCGAUUAAAAUUUCUCGUCGAUAAAUAAAUUGAAAUUAACUGCGGUGAAUCCUUUACGGAGAAUUUAAUGCGUUUCGGGUGAAAUGGUAAUUUAACAAAUAUCUAGAUAUUUUGAGAUAUUUGUUAAGUUAUGUUUAUUAUAUAUAUAUGUGUUUGUUUGGAGGGAAAAAGAAAGGAAAACUAGAAGGAAGGAAAAGGAAAAGAAAAGAGUAUAUAAAGGAAAGAAGGAAAAAGGAAGAAAGGAAAAACAAAGGAAAGAAAAAGAAAGGAAGGAAAUUCAUAAAAUUUCCAUCUUCUUCCUCGGACACUUCACGCCCAAGAUUUCCCCCUCCUCCAUUUUUCGUUUUCGUCGCUUUCUUUUCUUCAAAACUAGUAACCCAAGGUUGGGUGAGAGUUAGAACAAGGAUUUCGCAACUCCACUCUUCCUCCUUGAUUCGAAAACGAAGAAAAACGGUAUUUGAGAUUCAAACGCAAACCCCUCCGUUUCAUCUAGAUCCAAGCUUCAUUUCGCGAAGGGUUAGAAGGGAAAGUUGCUCACUACCACGCUACGGUGCUAGGGGACCAACUUGGAGGCGACGUUGCGAGCGAGGAUUUUUAACGGUUUUACUCGCGGUACCGGAAAACCACGUUGAAGCUAACGAUAAGGUAAGGGCUCCUUCCAAACUUUUAGUUUGCAUUUAGGGACUUAUCUGUGGUUGUGUGGGAAGGAGUUUGUUAGGGUUUAAUGUAUCGAUUUGGGGAAAAACGAAUCUAAUGCGUUAUGGGUAAAACCUUAGAGUUAGGUUUUGUUUAUAUUGAUGAAUGUUUCGUGGUAACUGAAUUUGAGGUCAUUUGUGUAUGAAUAUGUGUAAAUGAAGUCUGAUGUAUUUGGGUGUCAUGUUGCGUUGAUUUGUGUUCGUCGUAUUUGGCGUAUUCAUACUUGAUGGGUGUUGAUUGAUGGGUUUUGGUGUGAAUUAUGGAUUGAUUGUGGGAGUAUAUUUGAGCUUGUUUUCUGUGAAAUUUGAAAACCAUUAGAAUUAAACGAGUAUUAAAAAUGAGGAAUCUUUUAAUACCGCGGUUUACUUAAUGUCCGUUUGAGAAAAAUGUUUAAGUUAAACGAGUCUUAAGAAUGAGGAAUCUCUUAAGGUCUGCGUUUACUUAAUGUUGUUUUGGAAAAUCGUUGAGUUAAAUGAGCAUUAAGAAUGGGGAAUCUCUUAAUGUCUUGAUUUGCUUAAUGUUUGUUUUGAAAAAUCAGUUAAGUUAAAAGAGUAUUAAGAAUGGGGAAUCUCUUAAUAUGUCUGUUUGCUUAAUGUUUGUCGUGAGAACCGUUUAAGUUAAAUGGAUAUUAAAAAUGGGGAAUCUUUUAAUACCGCGGUUUACUUAAUGUCCGUUUGAGAAAAAUGUUUAAGUUAAACGAGUCUUAAGAAUGGGGAAUCUCUUAAGGUCUGCGUUUACUUAAUGUUGUUUUGGAAAAUCGUUGAGUUAAAUGAGCAUUAAGAAUGGGGAAUCUCUUAAUGUCUUGAUUUGCUUAACGUUUGUUUUGAAAAAUCAGUUAAGUUAAAAGAGUAUUAAGAAUGGGGAAUCUCUUAAUAUGUCUGUUUGCUUAAUGUUUGUCGUGAGAACCGUUUAAGUUAAAUGGAUAUUAAAAAUGGGGAAUCUUUUAAUACCGCAGUUUACUUAAUGUGCGUUUGAGAAAAAUGUUUAAGGUAAACGAGUCUUAAGAAUGGGGAAUCUCUUAAGGUCUGCGUUUACUUAAUGUUGUUUUGGAAAAUCGUUGAGUUAAAUGAGCAUUAAGAAUGGGGAAUCUCUUAAUGUCUUGAUUUGCUUAAUGUUUGUUUUGAAAAAUCAGUUAAGUUAAAAGAGUAUUAAGAAUGGGGAAUCUCUUAAUAUGUCUGUUUGCUUAAUGUUUGUCGUGAAAANNNNNNNNNNNNNNNNNNNNNNNNNNNNNNNNNNNNNNNNNNNNNNNNNNNNNNNNNNNNNNNNNNNNNNNNNNNNNNNNNNNNNNNNNNNNNNNNNNNNNNNNNNNNNNNNNNNNNNNNNNNNNNNNNNNNNNNNNNNNNNNNNNNNNNACAAAAUCGAUUGGCCAAUCGAUUUUGUAAUUAGUUUUUCGAAAUCAUUUAAGAAAUCGAUUGGGCCUUAAGUCAGGGACUCAUCCAUAUUCGACCAAAUCGAUGUGGACAUCGAUUGGCUUAAAACCUGGGGCUCAGUACUCACUCAAUCGAUUUCCCAAUCGAUUGAAUCAAGCCAGAGUUCAAAAUUUCACUAAAAACCUUCAGGAAAUUGAUUUGGAAAUCGAUUGGCAUUAAGUCAGGGGCUCAGUCAAUCCUGUCAAUCGAUUGAAUUAAGCCCAGGAUUCUGUUUUCAUCAAAAUCCUCCACCCUAAUCGAUUGCCUAAUCGAUUGGCUCAGUGAAAAUCCUCAGUUUUAGUUGUAUGAUUGAUUGCUCAUGAAUCUAUCCAUGUCUUGAUUUGUUAUGUUAUAAUUAGGGGAUUGAGAACCUCAUGUUGCUUUCAUUUUUAAUUGGCAAGUAUUGUAUGAACCUUUCGCAUAUUGAAAAUCCUGUUAAGGUGCAUGCUUAGUUGAAAAGUUAUUUUGAGCAUUUAAAAACUUAAUUGAUAUGUGUUAACUGUUAUUUUUUGGUUGGUGACCCUUUACAAUUAUUGUGGAAAUCUGGGCUUUGCCCUCAGAUGAGAGUCAGGACGGUCCUACCGGUUCGUACCCUACGGACGAGAAUGGAGAUGGGAACGCUUGACUGCAGUUACGUUAGGAGGAUCUCACGGGGCGCGUGGAGAUCACUCAGGGUGUAUAGCUUUUUGGUAGGAUGAUCAGAUUAGGAUGAUGUAUAGGGACUAGGUGUCCUUCUUUUUGGAUUGGAGUAUUUUUAGUUUGGAAAACUAUACUUAUACUAAUAUUGUCAGUCUGACUUCUUAUUUGAAUGGGUUUCAUGUACCAUUUGUUGUUGUGUAAAUGGUUUGGAUUUAUAAUUGGAGAAACUUUUCCGCUGCUUGUAAAUUAUAAUGACUCAAUUAUUUAUCCAAAGGCAUUUCAUGAUUUAAUUUUCUGUUUUAUUUUAAUUCCUUUUGAAAAAAAAAAAUAUAUACCCUCGCUUUGAAAAACGGGGUGUUACAUCUUCUUCCAUCAAAAUUUUAUGCAUACAAAUAUUGGGACUUAUACUCUUCAAUGUACCAACCAAUAGCACCCUUGUGCCCCCUCAAAGUUUUCAACAUUUUUUCUUCCGGUAGUUCACUCAAGCCUACAUUUCUAAUAUCUUUGCGUUCGUCUUCUCACAAAGAAAUAUAUACUCAAGUGAGAUGGUAAUUGCUUGAGUUGAACAAUAAGUGCUUUUUUUUUCUUUGCAAAUUCUUCCUCUUUAGGCCUCAUCUCCUCCCGCCUAGUGUGAAAAUUGGAGAAGCUAAAUGGUGUUGCCACUAACAUGGCUAAUGCUUCCUUUUCUCUCAUGUCUCUACUUUCUUCUACUACUUCAUGAGACAAACAUAAGACCCUUUCAAGAAGUAGAGUUUGUACUUGAUUUUGAAAUCUCUCUUCCAUUAGUGAAUCAAGAAUUUCAAUUCUAUGUAACAGUUACAUCAUGCACCUUCAAAUUUAAGGUGUCAUCCACCAUUUAACUCUCCGAUUUUUAACCACGAGAACUAAUUUUGUUUUUAAGAAAUUUAAAUAAAAUACUCUUAUCAUAAAGUACAUGUAAUUAAAGAUUGCACUAGUUUAAACAAUCUCUUGCAUGGUCUAAAAGCUAAAAUAUUUUAUAAAAUUAA
rnacentral:lncRNA from 1 species